rnacentral:rRNA from 1 species
GUCCUUUUGAUUAUUUAUUUAAGGUCUAGCCUGCCCUAUGAUAAGUUAAAUGGCCGCGGUAUCCUGACCGUGCAAAGGUAGCAUAAUCAUUUGUCUCUUAAUUGGAGGCUGGAAUGAAUGGUUGGACGAAGAGUUUACUUUCUUUUUAAAAUUUGAUUGAAUUUUAUUUUUAAGUUAAAAAGCUUAAAUUUAUUUAUAGGACGAGAAGACCCUAUAGAAUUUUAUAUUUAUUAAUUUUAGGUUUAGUUGGGUUUUUAAUUGGCUUAAAAUUAUAUUUAUUUUGUUGGGGUGACAGGAAAAUUUUUUUAACUUUUUUUAAUUUUUAUCAUUGAUAUAUGUUUUUAUGAUCCGUUUUUAGCGAUUAAAAGAUUAAAUUACCUUAGGGAUAACAGCGUUAUUCUUUUGGAGAGUUCUUAUCGAUAAAGGAGUUUGCGA